ensembl:lncRNA
AUGGAGCUCCUCCGCUCCAUGUGGAAUGAAGAAGAGGUUGAGGAAGAUGAGGACAGAGGAGAGGAAGGAGGGAUUGCGAUGGAGGAGGAGGGGCGAGGGGAUGGCGUGACGAUAGAAGAUGCAGAGACGAACGAAGAAAGGGUGAACGAAGAAGAGAUGGAGGAGAUAUAUGAGUUUGCUGCCACUCAGAGAAAGAGGGAUGAAGGAAAAGAGAGCGAAAAGGAAGAAUCAGAAGAGGAGGAGGAGGGAGGAGUGACAUUUUUCACAGAGACAGAAGAAGAGCAGGAGGCUCCAAUCCAAGCUCAGUCAUUGGCUGAACACUCAGAUACGGGUGAAUUAACAUGCAUGAUGUCCCCUCAAACAAAACCUCCCAGUUUAGAGGCAGACAUGGCUAUUGGUGACAUCGACACAGACCAGGGGAAUCCAAAUAGGAUAAAAGCUGAUCUCAACAAAUCAGAAGGUAGAGAUCUAGAACGUUCUAGAACAGCCACCGUGGAGUCAGACAGAACAAAACAAUUUGAAUCAAACGUCACAAGCUCAAGAAGUGUUGGAGAGGUAUCAACAACAAAAAGCCUCCACUCCAGUCCGAUUGACUAUCAAGAACUAAACGCUAGUCUAGACCGUAGCUACAGCCGCCUCUUCUCUGACUCUUGGGGGGUCUAUGAGACGCAGGAGGAGCCCCACACCUCCCCACCAACACAACCAUCCUGCCACUCCCAACCCCACAGGGCUAUCCAGAAACCCUCCUGCUCCCAGCCCCCCAGGACCAUGGUAGUGGAGGGUGCGAGACAGCCAGAACUCACCUCCCCACCCCCACCGUCCUCCUGCUCCCAGCCCACAAGGGUGAGGGUCGAUGGGAGUACGAGACAGACAGCGAUCCCUACCCUCCAGUACUCAGCCAUUGAAAUCAUUGACCUCUCCAUCAGUCCUCCUCUGGUCCCUGGUGUAUCCGCCCUACCUGUUCCUGGUUUGUCCCCAGGGGAAGUGACUGACACCGGGGCACGAGUUAGGACGAAGGGAGUGGUGGGAAGAGGGAAGGUUCCUGUGUGUAAGGAGAUACUCCAAGAGAAGGUACCGUCUAGUCCAGAGGACUUAAAGAGAGAGAGUUAUGGUCCAUAUAGUAUUUCUGUACCCGUCUCUCCUCCUCACAGUACCAAAGAAGAACCUGAGCUUAUAGUUCUGUCUGACUCUAGUGAAGAGAUGGAGGUAGGGGAUCUAGGACCUACCAGCCCCUCUCCACCACCCCCUACUCGUCUCUCCCAGAACCACCAAGGCUACACCCGAAUCACAACUCAAUCCAACACAGAACCCAAGAAACCCACCUCGAUAACCCAAUCUGACACAGAACCUAAGAAAUCCAGCUCGAAGGAGAAAGAGACUAUUGGUGGUUUUGUGAGGGAUCCUUCUGUCUCACCUUCCGAUCAAGGCUUAGAUCCAGAUCCUCCAGGUUCUAACCCUGGUUCUGCUGGUUCUACUAGACUCAUGGACUGUUCUGCAGAGAUGUCUUGGCUCAUCCCGGCCACUCCGCCCCUGCCGUCCAGGAGGACGAGCUCUACCCAGACCUUUAGUAGCAUGCGUCGCACUCAGCUCUUUCCUAAGGCCAACUCUUCUUCCUCCUCUUCUGCAGCGUCAGUUUUCUCCUCUCCCACCCUCCCUUUCAGGCCUAGCCGCCAGACCUCACACCCACCCAGGGUUUCUACACAUUCUGCCCAGACAGAGUCCUCUAUUUCUAGGCAGAAAUCAGACAGCAGAGGGCUUCGGCACUCCAGCUUGGGUCUCGACCAUGACGACCUCUCUUCCCAGAAAUACAACAGUGGUUUUGGAUCCACAGUCCCCUCCAAGUCCCAACCAAAACGCUCCUGCCUACCCCGCCUGACCCCCUCUCUCUCCGUCAUCCCCCCACCAGACCCCUCCACCAAGGGUACUCCUCUCCACAACGUCCCCCAGCCAUACAGCUCCACUCCCCUUUAUUCAGAUCUACCCAAGCCCUCUGCUCCGUCUCUGGCCUCCCCUCUUCUGAGAGACGGGGAGGGGGACAACGGAACCAGGCAGAGAGGGAGGGGGCUGGGGAUCUCUGGGAGCCCAUGGAAGAGAGGGGGAGAGGGGUCUCUGGGCCUAUCCCUCUCGGACCCACAUAAGGACCCUCUUACCCAACCGAGAGAGAACAGCGGCUCCCCCGGACAACGCCGACCAUCCAGUGAGUCUAAAUACUUCCACAGCCCAGGAGAUAGCGAGACGGGGGGAGAGAAAGAGAGGGGGGUGAGAGAGGAAUCGGAUGAGAUUAUGAAAAUGGAGGAACUGGAAAGGAGUAUAGUGAAAGAGGAAGAGCAGGAGGAAGAGAUGGGAGAAGACAUGGAGAGGUCCAGUAACAGCUUUCAGCAGAGCUUCCUCGGGAUGGACGAGCCACCCAUGGCCUUCGAUGACUCCUGGGGCCUAAACGCAGGAGGAGGGGACACGGACGGAGAACGAUCCCAGGCAGUGUGCUUCAGUCUGAGGCUACAGAGCAGCGGCGGUGGAGCUAGUCCUCCAAGACAGGGCCGGAGAGAUGGAGAGAUAACAGGAACAUCCUCUACUUUUACCCCCUCUCCUCUUCCUAAAGCCUACUCCACCCCCUCUCCACCUCCACCCAACACCACUACACCCCAGGCCAACCCAGAGAUCAACGCUAGCCUCCUGGACGCUGAGAUCUGGGACGACUGGGGGCAGGAAGAGGAUGAGGCUCUUCCUCUCUCGCAGAGGGUGAAUCCUGUAGCUCUGGCUCAGAGAGUGGCCCAGCUCAAGACUCCAGGUAAUACACUUUCAGCAGUUAUACCCCCUUGUAUAGAGGUUAUAAUGUUUAAUCUAGCUAGCUCGGGUUCAAAGCCAGCUUCAUUGCUUCCUACUGUUGAAAUAUUGAACAGUCUUCCAUUGGUGUUAUUCUGA